rnacentral:rRNA from 1 species
AUUGAACGCUGGCGGCAUGCCUUACACAUGCAAGUCGAACGGUAACGGGCCUUCGGGUGCCGACGAGUGGCGAACGGGUGAGUAAUAUAUCGGAACGUACCUUUCAGUGGGGGAUAACGUAGCGAACGUUACGCUAAUACCGCAUAUUCUGUGCGCAGGAAAGCAGGGGACCUUCGGGCCUUGCGCUGAUUGAGCGGCCGAUAUCAGAUUAGCUAGUUGGUGAGGUAAAGGCUCACCAAGGCGACGAUCUGUAGCGGGUCUGAGAGGAUGAUCCGCCACACUGGAACUGAGACACGGCCCAGACUCCUACGGGAGGCAGCAGUGGGGAAUUUUGGACAAUGGGCGCAAGCCUGAUCCAGCCAUGCCGCGUGAGUGAAGAAGGCCUUCGGGUUGUAAAGCUCUUUCGGCCGGGAAGAAAUCGCACGGGCUAAUGCCCUGUGUGGAUGACGGUACCGGAAUAAGAAGCACCGGCUAACUACGUGCCAGCAGCCGCGGUAACAC